rnacentral:rRNA from 1 species
GUCCACGCCGUAAACGAUGUCAACUAGUUGUUGGUCUUAUAAAGAAGAUUAGUGACGAAGCUAACGCGAUAAGUUGACCGCCUGGGGAGUACGGUCGCAAGACUAAAACUCAAAUGAAUUGACGGGGGCCCGCACAAGCGGUGGAGCAUGUGGUUUAAUUCGAUGCAACGCGAAGAACCUUACCAGGUCUUGACAUCCAGAGAAUCUUUCAGAGAUGAGAGAGUGCCUUCGGGAAUUCUGAGA